GAACGCUAGCGGCAGGCCUAAUACAUGCAAGUCGAACGGUUCGCAAGGACAGUGGCAAACGGGUGCGUAACGCGUAAGCAACCUGCCUCAUACUGGGGGAUAGCCCGGCGAAAGCUGGGGUAAACCCGCACGGUCCAGUGUCAUCACCUGAUGAUAUUGGUAAACAUUUAUGGGUAUGAGAGGGGCUUGCGUCUGAUUAGCUAGUUGGGGGGGUAACGGCCCACCAAGGCGAUGAUCAGUAGGGGUUCUGAGAGGAUUGGCCCCCACAUGGGUACUGAGAUACGGAC
rnacentral:rRNA from 1 species